rnacentral:snoRNA from 1 species
GCAUAUGAUGAUAAAAUCACGACGGUCGUCUGACCAUGAUGAUAUCUUUUAUCUGAUGCACAA